rnacentral:rRNA from 1 species
UACGUAGGGUGCGAGCGUUGUCCGGAAUUAUUGGGCGUAAAGGGCUCGUAGGCGGUCUGUCACGUCGAAAGUGAAAACUCAGGGCUCAACCCUGAGCCUGCUUCCGAUACGGGCAGACUAGAGGUAUGCAGGGGAGAAUGGAAUUCCUGGUGUAGCGGUGAAAUGCGCAGAUAUCAGGAGGAACACCGGUGGCGAAGGCGGUUCUCUGGGCAUUACCUGACGCUGAGGAGCGAAAGUGUGGGGAGCGAACAGG